rnacentral:rRNA from 1 species
GACGAACCGUACGAACGUUAUUCGGAAUCACUGGGCUUGAAGGGUGCGUAGGCGGUGCGGAAAGUUGGGUGUGAAAUCCCUCGGCUUAACCGAGGAACUGCGCCCAAAACUACCGUGCUGGAGGGAGACAGAGGUGAGUGGAACUUAGGGUGGAGCGGUGAAAUGCGUUGAUAUCCUAAGGAACACCGGUGGCGAAAGCGACUCACUGGGUCUCUUCUGACGCUGAUGCACGAAAGCUAGGGUAGCGAACGGG